rnacentral:misc_RNA from 1 species
GAUGAAGAACGUAGCGAAAUGUGAUAAGUAAUGUGAAUUGCAGAAUUCAGUGAAUCAUCGAAUCUUUGAACGCACAUUGCGCCCCUUGGUAUUCCGAGGGGCAUGCCUGUUCGAGCGUCAUUAUAACCCCUCAAGCUCAGCUUGGUGUUGGGGCCUGCCGCACGGGCAGCCCUUAAAAUCAGUGGCGGUGCCAUCUGGCUCUAAGCGUAGUAAUUCUUCUCGCUAUAGAGUUCCGGUGGCUGCUUGCCAUUAACCCCCAAUUUUCUAUGGUUGACCUCGGAUCAGGUAGGGAUACCCGCUGAACUUAAGCAUAUCAAUAAGCGGAGGA